UUCUAUUGUGGCAGAGAUAUGCUUAAGAUUUAGGAUCUUACUACGAAAUCAAAAUUUCCAUAGAAA
rnacentral:tRNA from 1 species